CACUGUAGACUGGACAGAGACUAAAGGCUUCACAAUGACCAAACCUCAUUAUUUACUGCUUUUUCUCUUCCUCUCCUUUAUCUGUGCAGGUACUGAGGGUCAAACUCUGACUGAGUCUGGAGCAGCGGUUAAAAGGCCCGGAGAAUCCCACACACUGACCUGCACAUAUUCAGGGUUUGGUGGUGAUAUUCAUAGUGCUUGGAUCAGACAGGCUCCUGGACAAGGACUGGAGUGGAUCGCUUGGAUCAGCAGUAGUAGUAGCUAUAUCCACUACUCUAACUCAGUCAGAGGUCGGUUCACCAUCUCCAGAGACAACAGCAGAGACCAGGUGUAUCUGCAGAUGAACAGUCUGAAGGCUGAAGACUCUGCUGUGUAUUACUGUGCCAGAGAGUCCCACAGUGACACAAGAGGAAGUAACGCUGUACAAAAACCUCAACGGCCAAAACAUGAAAAAGUUUGCGCUUCAUGA